CAAAGAAGAGCAAUGACAAUGUGCAAAGAGGAGUUUGGGGCAGUGCUUGAGGCCGUUGAAGUAGUCCAGGCUUCACAUUGCAUCUCCCUGGGCAGGAUGUUCCCACUAGCUAAGCUCAGCACCGUAAAAUUGGACAGAGUCCAGCUUUAUAUACUUCAAACUCCUUUCUCGUUUGUACCAGAAAGAUGAAGAGCGGAAGGCUACAGGAGCCAAGAAACCUUCCCGAGGCCCCAGAAUGAAGAAGACCUAGAUGUUUUCUGGAAAUCUCACAAACAAGACUAUUGACCUUAGUUCACGGUAGAGACAUCUGUAGACUCCCACAACUCUCGUGAUCUAGGCCCUUACUUCAUCAGCUGCAAUCCUGUCCAUUUCACCUCUGAAGCCACCCUGUGAUUUCAUCCAGCCUCCCCAGCAAGCCUUUAAAUCUGCCACUCCAGAAGCCGGUAAGACUGCACAUAGGAUACUAUAAAGCAGGGGUUCUCAACCUGUGGAUCGGGACCCCUGGAGGGUC